rnacentral:rRNA from 1 species
AGUGAACGCUGGCGGUAGGCCUAACACAUGCAAGUCGAACGGCAGCACAGUAAGAGCUUGCUCUUACGGGUGGGGAGUGGCGGACGGGUGAGGAAUACAUCGGAAUCUACUUUUUCGUGGGGGAUAACGUAGGGAAACUUACGCUAAUACCGCAUACGACCUACGGGUGAAAGCAGGGGAUCUUCGGACCUUGCGCGAUUGAAUGAGCCGAUGUCGGAUUAGCUAGUUGGCGGGGUAAAGGCCCACCAAGGCGACGAUCCGUAGCUGGUCUGAGAGGAUGAUCGGCCACACUGGAACGUAGACACGGUCCAGACUCCUACGGGAGGCAGCAGUGGGGAAUAUUGGGCAAUGGGCGCAAGCCUUAUCCAGCCAUACCGCGUGGGUGAAGAAGGCCUUCGGGUUGUAAAGCCCUUUUGUUGGGAAAGAAAAGCAGCAGGUUAAUACCCCGCUGUUCUGACGGUACCCAAAGAAUAAGCACCGGCUAACUUCGUG